rnacentral:rRNA from 1 species
GCGGCGGACGGGUGAGUAACACGUGGGCAACCUGCCUGUAAGACUGGGAUAACUUCGGGAAACCGGAGCUAAUACCGGAUAAUCCUUUUCUACUCAUGUAGAAAAGCUGAAAGACGGUUUACGCUGUCACUUACAGAUGGGCCCGCGGCGCAUUAGCUAGUUGGUGAGGUAACGGCUCACCAAGGCAACGAUGCGUAGCCGACCUGAGAGGGUGAUCGGCCACACUGGGACUGAGACACGGCCCAGACUCCUACGGGAGGCAGCAGUAGGGAAUCUUCCGCAAUGGACGAAAGUCUGACGGAGCAACGCCGCGUGAGUGAUGAAGGUUUUCGGAUCGUAAAACUCUGUUGUUAGGGAAGAACAAGUACAAGAGUAACUGCUUGUACCUUGACGGUACCUAACCAGAAAGCCACGGCUAACUACG